rnacentral:rRNA from 1 species
UACGUAGGGUCCGAGCGUUGUCCGGAAUUACUGGGCGUAAAGAGCUCGUAGGUGGUUUGUCGCGUCUGCUGUGAAAACUCAGGGCUUAACCCUGAGCUUGCAGUGGGUACGGGCAGACUAGAGUGCGGUAGGGGAGACUGGAAUUCCUGGUGUAGCGGUGGAAUGCGCAGAUAUCAGGAGGAACACCGGUGGCGAAGGCGGGUCUCUGGGCAGUAACUGACGCUGGAGGAGCGAAAGCGUGGGGAGCGAACAGG